GCUUGGGUAGCUCAAUUGGUAGAGUUGGUGGCUCUUUUCCUGCCUGGGAUACAGGAUUACAAUACUUCGUACUGUAGUACUCCGGCAUGCGGGAAUACUGCUAGGUUGCGGGUUCGAGUCCCGCCCCGGGCU